GAUGAAGAACGUAGCGAAAUGCGAUAAGUAGUGUGAAUUGCAGAAUUCAGUGAAUCAUCGAAUCUUUGAACGCACAUUGCGCCCCUUGGUAUUCCAUGGGGCAUGCCUGUUCGAGCGUCAUUUGUACCUUCAAGCUUUGCUUGGUGUUGGAUGUUUGUCCUGAGGGACUCGCCUUAAAGUAAUUGGCAGCCAGUGUUUGGUUUUGAAGCGCAGCACAAGUCGCGAUUCAAGGCUAUACACCAGCUUCCACAAGCCUUUUUCACUUUUGACCUCGGAUCAGGUAGGGAUACCCGCUGAACUUAAGCAUAUCAAUAAGCGGAGGA
rnacentral:misc_RNA from 1 species